rnacentral:rRNA from 1 species
UGGGGAAUAUUGGACAAUGGGCGCAAGCCUGAUCCAGCCAUGCCGCGUGGAUGAUGAAGGCCUUAGGGUUGUAAAGUCCUUUUAACGGGGAAGAUAAUGACGGUACCCGUAGAAUAAGCCCCGGCUAACUUCGUGCCAGCAGCCGCGGUAAUACGAAGGGGGCUAGCGUUGCUCGGAAUUACUGGGCGUAAAGCGCACGUAGGCGGCUCUUUAAGUCGGGGGUGAAAUCCUGGAGCUCAACUCCAGAACUGCCUUCGAUACUGAAGAGCUCGAGUCCGGGAGAGGUGAGUGGAACUGCGAGUGUAGAGGUGAAAUUCGUAGAUAUUCGCAAGAACACCAGUGGCGAAGGCGGCUCACUGGCCCGGUACUGACGCUGAGGUGCGAAAGCGUGGGGAGCAAACAG